rnacentral:rRNA from 1 species
GUGCCUACGGGAGGCAGCAGUGGGGGAUAUUGCACAAUGGGGGGAACCCUGAUGCAGCGACGCCGCGUGGGCGAUGGAGCGCCUCGGCGCGUAAAGCCCUAUCAGCAGGGAAGAAGAUGACGGUACCUGACUAAGAAGCCCCGGCUAAAUACGUGCCAGCAGCCGCGGUAAUACGUAUGGGGCAAGCGUUAUCCGGAUUUACUGGGUGUAAAGGGCGUGUAGGCGGGAAAGCAAGUCAGAUGUGAAGACCAUGGGCUCACACUGUGGCCUGCAUUUGAGACUGUUUUUCUUGAGUCCUGGAGAGG